rnacentral:pre_miRNA from 6 species
AACCAGUGCAGACUGGCGUGGCCCAGGCAUCUCUGGGCGAGUAUCUCUUUGAGCGCCUCACUCUGAAGCACGACUAGG